rnacentral:rRNA from 1 species
AUGGCUCAGGAUGAACGCUAGCUACAGGCUUAACACAUGCAAGUCGAGGGGCAGCAUGAUUCUAGCUUGCUAGAAUUGAUGGCGACCGGCGCACGGGUGAGUAACGCGUAUCCAACCUUCCCUAUAGUAGAGGAUAGCCCGGCGAAAGUCGGAUUAAUACUCUAUGUUGUUCAAUGCGGACAUCUAAGUUGAACCAAAGGUUUACCGCUAUAGGAUGGGGAUGCGUCUGAUUAGAUGGUAGGCGGGGUAACGGCCCACCUAGUCGACGAUCAGUAGGGGUUCUGAGAGGAAGGUCCCCCACAUUGGAACUGAGACACGGUCCAAACUCCUACGGGAGGCAGCAGUGAGGAAUAUUGGUCAAUGGGCGAGAGCCUGAACCAGCCAAGUAGCGUGCCAGGAUGACGGCCCUAUGGGUUGUAAACUGCUUUUAUAUAGGGAUAAAGUGCACCACGUGUGGUGUUUUGUAGGUACUAUAUGAAUAAGGACCGGCUAAUUCCGUGCCAGCCGCGGC